UACGAAGGGGGCUAGCGUUGCUCGGAAUCACUGGGCGUAAAGCGCACGUAGGCGGCUUUUUAAGUCAGGGGUGAAAUCCUGGAGCUCAACUCUAGAACUGCCUUUGAUACUGAGAAGCUUGAGUCCGGGAGAGGUGAGUGGAACUGCGAGUGUAGAGGUGAAAUUCGUAGAUAUUCGCAAGAACACCAGUGGCGAAGGCGGCUCACUGGCCCGGUACUGACGCUGAGGUGCGAAAGCGUGGGGAGCAAACAGG
rnacentral:rRNA from 1 species